GUUCCCUGGUCCAGGCAGCGCUGACUUAGCCGCCCUCGGUGUCAGUGAACCCGGGAGAAACUGUCAGGAUCACCUUCUCUGGGGGCAGCAGCAGCAGCAGCUAUGCUUAUGCCGGCUGGAAGCCACCUGGCAGUGCCCCUGUCACUGUGAUCUACGAUAGCACAAAGAGACCCUCGGGCAUCCCUUUGUGAUUCUCCGGAUCCCAGUCUGGCUCCACGGGCACAUUAACCAUCAGUGGGGUCCAAGCUGAGGACGAGGCUGUCUAUUACUGUGGUAGCUAUGUCGGCAGCAAUGCUG